rnacentral:rRNA from 1 species
CAGCAGCCGCGGGAAUACGGAGGGUGCAAGCGUUAAUCGGAAUUACUGGGCGUAAAGCGCACGCAGGCGGUUUGUUAAGUCAGAUGUGAAAUCCCCGAGCUUAACUUGGGAACUGCAUCUGAAACUGGCAAGCUAGAGUCUUGUAGAGGGGGGUAGAAUUCCAGGUGUAGCGGUGAAAUGCGUAGAGAUCUGGAGGAAUACCGGUGGCGAAGGCGGCCCCCUGGACAAAGACUGACGCUCAGGUGCGAAAGCGUGGGGAGCAAACAGGAUUAGAUACCCGCGUAGUCCCUGUCUCUUAUAC